GUGGGGAAUUUUGCGCAAUGGGGGAAACCCUGACGCAGCGACGCCGCGUGGAGGACGAAGGCCUUCGGGUUGUAAACUCCUUUUAUAAGGGAAGAUAGUGACGGUACCUUAUGAAUAAGCCACGGCUAACUCUGUGCCAGCAGCCGCGGUAAGACAGAGGUGGCAAGCGUUAUUCGGAAUUACUGGGCUUAAAGGGCGCGUAGGCGGUUUGGUAAGUCUGGAGUGGAAUCCCGCGGCUUAACCGCGGAAUUGCUUUGGAAACUGCCUGACUUGAGUCAGCGAGGGGAGGACGGAAUUCCUGGUGUAGCAGUGAUAUGCGUAGAUAUCAGGAGGAAGGCCGGCGGCGAAGGCGGUCCUCUGGCGCUUGACUGACGCUGAGGCGCGAAAGCGUGGGGAGCAAACAGGAUUAGAAACCCUAGUAGUCC
rnacentral:rRNA from 1 species